rnacentral:rRNA from 1 species
UACGUAGGCAGCAAGCGUUGUUCGGAGUUACUGGGCGUAAAGGGCGCGUAGGCGGGAUGGCAAGUCGGUCGUGAAAUCCUUCGGCUCAACCGAAGAACGUCGGCCGAUACUGCCGUUCUUGAGGGAUGCAGAGGAGAUUGGAAUUCCCGGUGUAGCGGUGAAAUGCGCAGAUAUCAGGAGGAACACCGGUGGCGAAGGCGGAUCUCUGGGCCUUACCUGACGCUGAGGCGCGAAAGCUAGGGGAGCGAACAGG